UACGGAGGGGGCGAGCGUUAUUCGGAAUUAUUGGGCGUAAAGGGCGCGUAGGCGGCCUUGUAAGUCAAAGGUGAAAUCCCUCGGCUCAACUGAGGAACUGCCUUUGAAACUGCAAGGCUUGAGGCCGGGAGGGGGUAGCGGAAUUCCCAAUGUAGCGGUGAAAUGCGCAGAUAUCAGGAGGAACACCGGUGGCGAAGGCGGGUCUCUGGGCCGAUACUGACGCUGAGGAGCGAAAGCGUGGGGAGCGAACAGG
rnacentral:rRNA from 1 species